AACGUAGGAGACGAGCGUUAUCCGGAGUUACUGGGCGUAAAGGGCGUGUAGGCGGUUUGUUAAGUCUGGCGUGAAAGCUCUCGGCUAAACCGGGAGAGGUCGUUGGAUACUGGCGAACUAGAGGAUGGUAGAGGCGUGUGGAAUUCCGGGUGUAGUGGUGAAAUGCGUAGAGAUCCGGAGGAACACCAGUGGCGAAGGCGACACGCUGGGCCAUACCUGACGCUAAAGCGCGACAGCAUGGGGAGCAAACGGG
rnacentral:rRNA from 1 species